rnacentral:rRNA from 1 species
AUUGAACGCUGGCGGCAGGCCUAACACAUGCAAGUCGAGCGAGCGGCGGACGGGUGAGUAAUGUAUGGGGACUGCCCGAUAGAGGGGGAUAACUCCUGGACAGGGUGGCUAAUACCGCAUACUCUCGUGUCCCCCAUAUGGGCGUAGCUAGUAGGUGGGGUAAAGGCUCACCUAGGCGACGAUCUCUAGCUGGUCUGAGAGGACGAUCAGCCACACGGGGCUUGAGACACGGCCCAGACUCCGACGGAGGCAGCAGUGGGGAAUAUUGCACAAUGGGCGCAAGCCUGAGGCAGCCAUGCCGCGUGUAUGAAGAAGGCCUUAGGGUUGUAAAGUACUUUCAGCGGGGAGGCGUUACCCGCAGAAGAAGCACCGGCUAACUCCGUGCCAGCCGCCGCGGUAAUUC